CAAUAAUCAGGGCCUCUGUCUUGCUC
rnacentral:piRNA from 1 species